rnacentral:sRNA from 1 species
GCUGGGUACAGUGGAGCAUGCCUGUAAUCCCAGAUACUGAGGAGGCUGGAGCAGGAGGUUCAAAACUUUGAGGCCGACCUCAGCAACUUAGUGAGACCCUGUCUCAA